UACGGAGGGUGCAAGCGUUGCUCGGAAUUAUUGGGCGUAAAGGGCAGGUAGGUUGUCUCGUUUGUCUUAGGUGAAAUCCCUGGGCUUAACCCAGGAAGUGCCUUGGGAACGGCGAGACUAGAGUCCUGGAGAGGGUCGUAGAAUUCCCGGUGUAGCGGUGAAAUGCGUAGAGAUCGGGAGGAAUACCAGAGGCGAAGGCGGCGACCUGGACAGGCACUGACACUCAACUGCGAAAGCGUGGGGAGCAAACAGG
rnacentral:rRNA from 1 species